UACGUAGGGUGCGGGCGUUGUCCGGAAUUACUGGGCGUAAAGAGCUCGUAGGUGGUUUGUCGCGUUGUUCGUGAAAACUCACAGCUCAACUGUGGGCGUGCGGGCGAUACGGGCAGACUGGAGUACUGCAGGGGAGACUGGAAUUCCUGGUGUAGCGGUGGAAUGCGCAGAUAUCAGGAGGAACACCGGUGGCGAAGGCGGGUCUCUGGGCAGUAACUGACGCUGAGGAGCGAAAGCGUGGGGAGCGAACAGG
rnacentral:rRNA from 1 species